AUGUUCUCCGUACCACAGGAGUACAUUCUCUGUACCACAGGAGUACGUUCUCCGUACCACAUGAGUAUGUUCUCCAUACCACCGGAUAGUAUGUUCUCCGUACCACAGGAGAGUAUGUUCUCCGUACCACAGGAGUACGUUCUCCAUACCACAGGAGUACGUUCUCCGUACCACCGGAGAGUAUGUUCUCCGUACCACAGGAGAGUAUGUUCUCCGUACCACAGGAGUACGUUCUCUGUACCACAGGAGUAUGUUCUCCGUAUCACAGGAGUAUGUUCUCCGUAUCACAGGAGUAUGUUCUCCGUAUCACAGGAGUAUGUUCUCCGUACCACAGGAGUACGUUCUCCGUACCACAGGAGUAUGUUCUCCGUACCACCGGAGUACGUUCUCCGUACCACCGGAGUACGUUCUCUGUACCAGAGGAGUACGUUCUCCGUAUCACAGGAGUAUGUUCUCCGUACCACCGGAGUAUAUUCUCUAUACCACAGGAGUAUGUUCUCCGUAGCACCGGAGAGUAUGUUUUCCGUACCACAGGAGUACAUUCUCUGUACCACCGGAGUAUGUUCUCCGUACCACCGGAGUACGUUCCCUGUACCACCGGAGUACGUUCUCCGUACCACAGGAGUAUGUUCUCCGUACCACCGGAGUAUGUUCUCCGCACCACCGGAGUAUGUUCUCCGUACCACAGGAGUACGUUCUCCGUACCACUGGAGAGUAUGUUCUCCGUACCACAGGAGUACGUUCUUCGUACCACAGGAGUAUGUUCUCCGUACCACCGGAGAGUAUGUUUUCCGUACCACAGGAGUACGUUCUCUGUACCACCGGAGAGUAUGUUCUCCGUACCACCGGAGAGUAUGUUCUCCGUACCACAGGAGUAUGUUCUCCAUACCACAGGAGUAUGUUCUCCGUACCACCGGAGUAUGUUCUCUGUACCACAGGAGUAUGUUCUCCGUACCACAAGAGUAUGUUCUCCAUACCACCGGAGUACGUUCCCUGUACCACAGGAGUACGUUCUUCGUACCACAGGAGUAUGUUCUCCGUACCACAGGAGUACGUUCUCCGUACCACUGGAGUAUGUUCUCCGUACCACUGGACUAUGUUCUCCGCACCACCGGAGUAUGUUCUCCGUACCACAGGAGUACGUUCUCCGUACCACUGGAGAGAAUGUUCUCCGUACCACAGGAGUACGUUCUUCGUACCACAGGAGUAUGUUCUCCGUACCACCGGAGUACGUUCUCCGUACCACAGGAGUAUGUUCUCCGUACCACCAGAGAAUGUUCUCCGUACCACCGGAGAGUAUGUUUUCCAUACCACAGGAGUACGUUCUCUGUACCACCGGAGAGUAUGUUCUCCGUACCACCGAAGAGUAUGUUCUCCGUACCACAGGAGUAUGUUCUCCAUACCACAGGAGUAUGUUCUCCGUACCAACGGAGUAUGUUCUCUGUACCACAGGAGUAUGUUCUCCGUACCACAGGAGUAUGUUCUCCGUACCACCGGAGUACGUUCCCCGUACCACAGGAGUACGUUCUCCGUACCACAGGAGUAUGUUCUCCGUACCACCGGAGAGUAUGUUCUCCGUACCACAGGAGUAUGUUCUCCAUACCACAGGAGUAUGUUCUCCGUACCACCGGAGUAUGUUCUCUGUACCACAGGAGUAUGUUCUCCGUACCACAGGAGUAUGUUCUCCGUACCACCGGAGUACGUUCCCUGUACCACAGGAGUACGUUCUCCGUACCACAGGAGUAUGUUCUCCGUACCACCGGAGAGUAUGUUCUCCGUACCACAAGAGUACGUUCUCUGUACCACAGGAGUACGUUCUCUGUACCACAGGAGUACGUUUUCUGUACCACAGGAGUACAUUCUCCGUACCACAGGAGUACGUUCUCUGUACCACAGGAGUACGUUUUCUGUACCACAGGAGUACAUUCUCCAUACCACAGGAGUACGUUCUCUGUACCACAGGAGUACGUUUUCUGUACCACAGGAGUACAUUCUCCGUACCACAGGAGUACGUUCUCUGUACCACAGGAGUACGUUUUCUGUACCACAGGAGUACAUUCUCCAUACCACAGGAGUACGUUCUCUGUACCACAGGAGUACGUUCUCCGUACCACCGGAGUAUGUUCUCCGCACCACCGGAGUACGUUUUCCAUACCACAGGAGUACGUUCUCUGUACCACCGGAGAGUAUGUUCUCCGUACCACCGGAGUAUGUUCUCCAUACCACAGGAGUAUGUUCUCCGUACCAACGGAGUAUGUUCUCUGUACCACAGGAGUAUGUUCUCCGUACCACAGGAGUAUGUUCUCCGUACCACCGGAGUACGUUCCCUGUACCACAGGAGUACGUUCUCCGUACCACAGGAGUAUGUUCUCCGUACCACCGGAGAGUAUGUUCUCCGUACCACAAGAGUACGUUCUCUGUACCACAGGAGUACGUUCUCUGUACCACAGGAGUACGUUUUCUGUACCACAGGAGUACAUUCUCCGUACCACAGGAGUACGUUCUCUGUACCACAGGAGUACGUUUUCUGUACCACAGGAGUACAUUCUCCAUACCACAGGAGUACGUUCUCCGUACCACCGGAGAGUAUAUUCUCCGUACCACAAGAGUAUGUUCUCUGUACCACAGGAGUACGUUCUCGUACCACAGGAGUAUGUUCUCGUACCACAGGAGAAUAUGUUCUCACUUGAUUUUAGCAUAUAG
rnacentral:lncRNA from 1 species